rnacentral:rRNA from 1 species
GACGAACGCUGGCGGCGUGCUUAACACAUGCAAGUCGAACGGAAAGGCCCCUUUGGGGGUACUCGAGUGGCGAACGGGUGAGUAACACGUGAGUAACCUGCCCUUGACUUCGGGAUAACUUCAGGAAACUGGGGCUAAUACCGGAUAGGAAUCCUUGCUGCAUGGCGGGGGUUGGAAAGCUUCGGCGGUUUUGGAUGGACUCGCGGCUUAUCAGCUUGUUGGUGGGGUAGUGGCUUACCAAGGCUUUGACGGGUAGCCGGCCUGAGAGGGCGACCGGCCACAUUGGGACUGAGAUACGGCCCAGACUCCUACGGGAGGCAGCAGUGGGGAAGAUUGAACAAUGGGCGGAAGCCUGAUGCAGCAACGCCGCGUGCGGGAUGACGGCCUUCGGGUUGUAAACCGCUUUCAGAAGGGGCGAAGCUUGUGGUGACGGUACCUGCAGAAGAAGCACCGGCUAACUACGUG